GGGCCAGUAGCACAAUGGACAAUGUGCCUGACUAUGGAUCAGGAGAUUUCAGGUUCAACUCCUGCCUGGCUUG
rfam:Chaetura pelagica isolate M959 contig49869, whole genome shotgun sequence.